rnacentral:sRNA from 1 species
UCAUCUACAGCAGGGCUAAAUUCUACCUGAAUUUAUCAGUUUCCAGAAUGUAAAAUUGAGGUGAAGGAGUUGAGGUGAAAGGAAGAAGCAGUUCCAGAGGCUUAAAUGGAGAAUGCUUUAUUCUUUUCUAAAAGCUUUGUAAGGAAGACAGCGAGCAUAGCCUUGUGAGACUGAGAAUAGGCAUCCCGAGGUGCUUGUCUUAACAAUGGAACCCAGAGUGUCUGUCUCAGUCCUGCCCUUGAGUGGAGCUGAAGUGGUGCUCACAGCUGGGUUGAAGAAGCUGAAACAGGCAUAUUUCACAAGUCAUUUCGGCGAUCGUCAUUGGCAGCAUUUCACAUUGCGCUGGGAAUUGCAUGUUAUUCAUCUAUAAUGAGCGUGUAAGAAAUAACAGCAAAGGUAUUCCAGUUGAAGUUUGUAUUCCCAUUAGGUAACAAAAUCUUAAACCCAGGAUUUUGAUGUUGUUGUUGGCUGUUUGUUUUAAAAGGCAGGCCAUCUUAUUAUAAAGCAGUUGUGCAUUUAUGGAUGAGGAGGAUGGAGACAGCAUCCAGACAAAGUGGCCAGAGUCUGUGUUGAGCAUCUGAAAGAAACUGGGUCAUCACGGGGGUCCCGCCACUCUUGAAAUUCUGCUUAUGAAACACUCACCCCUGCCCUUUUAUCUGAGGAAAGCCAUCUGCAGGGUCAUGCGCUCAUUCCAGGUGGCUAAUUUUGUCAUUGUUUUGCAUGUUGUAGAGUUCCCAUUAGCUUAAGCUAAGGAUGUCCAAGCUGCCGGUUCUCUAUUUAUUCAAGCUCAUUUACAGGGCACCAUGGCUCAGGCAAGGGAGCAGCACAUUGCUCAGGGAAAAUUAAGGAAAAACAGGAGUAGCAAAUGUUUUUCUACACAAGUCUUUCAUUCACCACCCAUCAUCGACCACCUACUGUGUGCGUCCAGAGUGUGCCAGGCACUAAAAAACACUGGAGAUCCAAACCUCACAGAGCCCAUUGUCUCUGGGAGCACGUGAAGUUAGGUCCCAAGCUUGAACUUACAGAAGUGAUCUCCUUUAAUUGGCCUCUUGCCCCAUAGCCGCUUCUCUACCCACUCAGAAUGGAACUUUUUUUGUUUGUUUGUUUGUUUGUUUGUUCGUUUUUUGGUCAAACAAGGCAUCAUGUUGAUGCCCCCAUAAUCCCACAGACCUCCCUGGACUCAAUUUAGGAUUUGUUUAACAAACUUACCAUCUUCGAUUCCUUUCUCUCUGCCCUGCCCCUCAACUUACAAAAUUCACAGCCAGUUUUUGAAUGCAUAAUUAAAAUAUGCUUUAGAAAUCUUGAUUAGUUACAAUUUAUUAAAAUACCUUUGAGAUUACUUCCUGCUAUAGAAUCUUUUAACUUCAGCACUGCCUCCUUCCUGGGAAAGCCAGAAUGCUGAGGAAGCUGAAUUUGUGUUCCCAGCCGCUGAUGAAGGAGGCAGUGUUGCUGGUUAUCCAAGGAUGAUGAAAACAUACACCGAGGAGGGGCUUGCUAUUGUGUGCUGUGUUCCCUCUUCUUUUUCAGGUAUUAGUAAAUAUUGGCAACCACUUUGAUCUUGCUUCCAGUAUAUUUGUAGCACCGAGAAAAGGGAUUUAUAGCUUCAGCUUCCACGUGGUCAAAGUGUAUAACAGACAAACCAUCCAGGUCAGUUUAAUGCAGAAUGGCUACCCAGUGAUCUCGGCCUUUGCAGGAGACCAGGAUGUCACCAGAGAAGCUGCUAGCAAUGGCGUGCUGCUGCUCAUGGAAAGGGAAGACAAAGUGCAUCUCAAACUUGAGAGAGGCAACCUCAUGGGGGGCUGGAAAUACUCCACAUUCUCGGGCUUCUUGGUGUUUCCUCUAUAAACACAGAGCCCCCUAGAUGGUGGGGGAAUGGCAAACUGGACCCAGGACUCCGCCCUUUAAAACACCCUGAACUUGCUGGAAUUGGGCACCUUGUUUCCAACCUCCGUCAGACUGUUGCAGUAGAAGAAUGAUUUCCUUUGAAACCUCCAGUACUUUUGUUUUUGUUUUUUGGAAUACUGACAAUUCCUCGGGAACCUGGCCUCUAAUUAGUUUUAGAUGACAAGGUCUUAAGGAGAAAUGAAAUUAUCGAUUUGAGCAAUUUGUACCUGUGAUUGUAAAGUCAAUAUCGGAUUUUAUUGUUGGGACCAUGGACCUCUUUUGUUUGUAUGUUGUAUUGUCGUCCCAAUGGAAGGAGAGCUCCUGACUCCAGGAUGGGCUGCAGGUUGCAGUCAGGGCUUGAAGCAGGAGCCCAGCGAAGAACCACCUGCUGGACAGUCCUUGACGUGUGUUCUGUGUGUGUCUGUAUAGCCUUAAGAAAAAGAAUGGUUUCACUUUCAUUCUGUAUUCUUCCCCCCACCAUGUGGCUGGGAGGACUUGGGAGGGGAUGGGAACAUUGUGAACCUGUCAAGAAGUGCUUUAUCCAGAGAAGCAAAUUUUGCACGAUUGGACUGCAAUUUUUGUUUUGUAUUGUUUGUGUUUUUUCUUGAAAAGCUUUACUUUUCUUUCCACACUCAGCUCUCCCUCCUCAACCCCACUUUUAUUUUUCUUGCUGGGGUUGGGGAGAGAAAAUAUAGAAUUCCUGGAUAAGACCAAACAAAACAAAACAUUAAAAUACCUGUAUGUUUUGUUUUAGACGAGACCAAACUAAACAAAAAGUAUCUGUUUAUCAAAGUAAAAGUAACACAAUGGACAAUUCUGCUUAUUCUCUCAAAGAGAUUCUAAGAUGCACCUUUAGAACUAUUAAUAGCAACCUGCAUUUUUUUUAAUUUAUACUUCAGAAUCCUUUAAGAACCUGGUGUUCCUGAGUGGUCCUGAAUCAUAUAAGUUGGGAAUGGAGGCUGUAAUGACCAAGUCCCCUAAACAUACUGUUUCUUUGCCACGUGUGCUGUGACUUCUCAGCGGGUGAUUUAAUUUAUUUGGAUCCACCUCUGAGUGAGCGCACAGUGAUCAGGUGCUUCAAAGCCAACAGACAAGCUCCUCUUCCUCCGGAUCCUCUUUUGAUCUGCCCAGGAAAGGGAUGCAUUGACACUCUCCUGCAUGCACCUGGCGAGAAGCCACCUGGAAGUCACUGUGGUUAAAGAUAUUGGUGGAGGUACCCCAGGAGCACUGUUACAAAUCCUUCUUGUUUUGGCAUCUCGUACAACAUUAUUAAGACACAGCUGAGAGUUGAUGGGUGUGUAAUUCAUAUGCCAAGGAAAUGUCACUAAUCCCAAAGCAAUCAAAAAGGAGACCUCAAACCAGAUGUUAAUUUGUUCUUUGUGUAACAAUGUAACCAAAAUAUUGAUGAUAAAAGUCAUAAUUUAAGAUUCAGAAUAAAUGGGUUUGAUGUC